CAGCAGCCACGGUAACACGUAGGUGGCAAGCGUUGUCCGGAAUUAUUGGGCGUAAAGCGCGCGCAGGCGGCUUCCCAAGUCCCUCUUAAAAGUGCGGGGCUUAACCCCGUGAUGGGAAGGAAACUGGGAAGCUGGAGUAUCGGAGAGGAAAGUGGAAUUCCUAGUGUAGCGGUGAAAUGCGUAGAGAUUAGGAAGAACACCGGUGGCGAAGGUGACUUUCUGGACGAAAACUGACGCUGAGGCGCGAAAGCCAGGGGAGCGAACGGGAUUAGAUACCCGGGUAGUCCCUGUCUCUUAUACA
rnacentral:rRNA from 1 species